rnacentral:lncRNA from 12 species
CCCCCCCCCCCCCCCCCCCCCCCCCCCCCCCCCCCCCCCCCCCCCCCCCCCCCCCCCCCGACACCGGGUGUGCGGGGACAGCCCUGAGGGCACAGCCGUGAGGGGACACCGGAUGGAACAGAGAGGAGGCACAAUUACCCCAGAUUUAGAAGAUCUUAGUUCAAGCCCUGACCUACUGAAGCUUCCCAUACCUCAGCUUCUCCUCCCUAUCUUAAAACCAGGUGCCUCAGAUUCCCUGAAGGAAACUUGGCAAAUUACUGAAGGCUGAGCCUUGGUGACAAGACACAAGGGAGCCACCAACUUUGGCAUUCCUAAGGAUGUAAAAUGGGGCAAAAGCUGACCAGCUGUUACCAUGCAGGAGGUGUCCAGCAUCUGAACGGUGCAGCCAUGAUCUCAGGCAGCAAGAAUGAGAAAUCUUGUAAUCUUCUUCCUGAAGAGCCUCACAUACUGAGCAUUGCUAAAAUAUUUGGCACGAUAAAUGACAGAGCUGCUCUAAAGGAAUCAUGUACUCUAGAAAUGAAAAAGAUACAUCUGUUGUCUCUUUUGUCAAUGUGAAAGGUGAGCCACGUAAAACAUGGGAUAGCAAAAUACUGAGGAAUGACAGAAGACAUGCCCAUGUCAAUUUGGGUGUAAGGUUAUCCCAUUUCCUUUCAUUUCUGAGGAUCUUUGUUUUUCAGAAAGAUGUGCAGGAGACCAAAGUAAAGGUUAUUAGAUCUUGCUGGUCUGAAAUCUAGGGAAAAAAAGAUACCUCUUAGCUUUGCACACAGGUAUUGUUUGGUUUGACUCUGUUGAAGACUCAGACACUACCUGGGAGGCUUGGCUGCC